GCAAAAAUAGAUGAUAGGUGCACUCACAGGUCUGGUUCCAAAGUUUCUUUUAUUUACUUGUGCAAAUUACAUGUGCAAAAUAAUCAGAGAUUAUUUAUUUUGCACAUGUAAUUUGCACAAGUAAAUAAAAUAAACUUUGGAACAAGAGCUGUGAGUGCACCUAUCAUCUAUUUUUGC